ensembl:lncRNA
GUUAAACUCUGUGUAUUCACAUGACUGAGCUCAGUGGGAGUGACUUCUCCUUCUUCACUUGUUCUCUCUGCUCUGUUUCUCUUUUAUUUUAUUUUAUUUAACCCAGUUCUCCUCUUUGAUCUGUUGAUUCCUCUAAUACCUGUAGUCUCUUCUCCUCUCUUCUCCUCUGUUGAACGUACAGUGAAGAUGCCCAGUCAGAGGAAGAAGAGACAGCGCCGUGUGAGGAGGCUGCAUGGACAGUGGAAAUUUCUGGAGGAUCAGUAUGUGGUUACUGGAAAAAGAAAUUCAGGAGUUUGUGGUGUUCAUAAUCGACCCCAAAAAGCUCAGAUGAAAGCUCAAGCCAAGGUUCCAGGUUCACAACCAGAAGUGACGUCCAUCCCAGAACCGCUGACUCCUCAAGCUGCAACAGAACUCCAUGUUUCAGAAACAGAAUCUCCAAAAAUGUACAUUCCAGAAGAAAGGAAAAGGCCAGGAACUUCAGCUCCAGAAGAAGUCAUAGCUCCAAAAGAAUGUAGAGCUCCAGAAGACAUUAGAGCUCCACAACAGACGGUAGCUCCAGAACUAAGAGAAGCAUCAACACUGGGAGCUCCAGAGAUGAUAGAAGUUGAAAUUCUAGGAGAUUUUGCAGUUACAGAGGUACCAUCACUACAAAUUUUAGACGUGAUUACACCACCAAAAAUGGAAGUAGUUCUAGAGAUAUCAGCAUCUCAGAAAAUUUCCACUUCAGAAGUGAUGAAAAAACCAGAAGUUUCAUUUUCAGAAAUGACCAUACUAGAAAGAAAGGAAGCACCAGAAAAUAUGACAACAGUUUCAGAAUUAACAACUCAAAAAGAAACUCUAGAAGUACCAUCCCCAGACGUUUCAGUUCCAGAAAUAGAAGCUCCAGUUAUGGAAGUCCCAAAAGUACAAUCAGUAGAAGCUCCAGAUGUGACACCACCAAAAAUGGAAGCAGUUCCAGAAGUGAUGGGAGCCCACGUAGUGACAGCAACUCUAGAUACUCUGGUAUCACCAGAAGUGAUAGCACCUCCACAAACGUCAAUUCCAGAAAUAGUAGAAGCUCCAGAUGUCACAGAAUCACCAAAGUUUACUGCUAGUCUGGAAAAAAUGGAAGCUCCUGAAAUUUUACCUCUGAAACUGACAGCAUGCUCAGAAUGGUCAGCUCCAGAAACGGUGGAAGCACCAACAGCUGUAAAUGAAGUAGAAGUAACAUCAAAUAAAGAAUUGGAGACUUCAGAAGAUACCAAAGUUCCUAAUGUGAUGAAACCCCAAAAAUUACCAUGCUCAGAAAUGAAAGAUCCAAAGGAUUUAGAUUGUGAUCUAGAUGUGACAGAACCAGAUGUGAUAUUAGCUCCAGAAAUGGAAGCACAGGAGACGACAGCAGAUGUUCCAGAAGUUUUGUCUGAAGUUCCAAUUAACUUUCCAUCAGAAGAACCUGCAGUUCAGGAGAACAUCAUCAGCACUGCAUGAACACAGGUAAAGGUAUAAUUUUGGGACUAGUUGUGUGUGUGUAUGUGUGUAUGUGUUGUGUAUGUGUAUAUGUGUGUGUGUGUGUGUGUGUGUGUGUGUGUGUUUGGAUGGGGUGGAGGCUGGAAUAGUUCUCUCUAAUGUUCGCCGUGUUCAUGCUCUCAUCACUACAGAAACCUAACAAACAGCAUGGCUUUGUGUGGAAUGUGUGUGGAGGGGAGGAGGAUUAAUGUGUGUGUGUGUGUGUGUGUGUGUGUGUGUGUGUGUGUGUGUGUGUGUGUGUGACCCUACAGUGUUUAUAUAAGUCCGUUGGACACAAAUGAACACUCUGGGUGUUAAUUCAACACUGGGGAUUUUUCUGAAUGUGUGUGUGUGUGUGUGUGUGUGUGUGUGUGUGUGUGUGUGUGUGUGUGUUUUCAGCUGCUGUUCUGAUGAAACGGAGAAACACGAUGACAUCAUCAAUCAGUGCUGGCCAAUCACGCACAGGCUAUGUGUUAAUCCAGUCUUCACACUUCCCCCUGUCCACACAGAGUGCUGUUAUACUUUAUUACACUGAGGCUCCACCCACACCUGUACACAUCACAUUUUAACCCUAAUCACAGUUUUCUGUUUUCCCAUCCACAUGAAAAGGGUUUUCAAAAAUCUUCAUCCUCAUGAAAAUGCAGAAUUGAUUUGUCCACACCAGCGCAGUGAGAGUACGCUGUACAGUGUUACAUUAACCUCUGCAGGAAUGACGUUAGGAGUUGUGUGUUGAAUGUUAGAGGAGAAGAAAUGUAGAAAACACCAUGCUGAAAGCUGUAAAAGUUAAAACUAUAAAGUGAGGAUUCAGGUGUGUGAAGUGAUGAUGAGGUGGAACUGAUGUUUAAAUCUGCAGUGCUGAAUGUCUGCCUCUCUAUCGCCAUCUCUGUUUGAAACAUAAAAUUGCAAGUUACUUGCGGAGUUAUUUUUUUUGGUUUGUGCUUUGGCACCACUCCUCUGCGUGGAGGAAGCUGGUGGUUUGAGGUAUUCGUAUGGAUUGUCUGUGAUCACACAGCGG